UACAUGGGGUGCAAACGUUGCUCGGAUUUACUGGGCGUAAAGCGCGCGUAGGCGGCUUUGCAAGUCGGGUGUGAAAUCCCCAGGCUUAACCUGGGAACUGCAUUCGAGACUGCAUUGCUAGAGUAUGGGAGAGGGAAGUGGAAUUUCCGGUGUAGCGGUGAAAUGCGUAGAUAUCGGAAGGAACAUCAGUGGCGAAAGCGACUUCCUGGACCAAUACUGACGCUCAUGUGCGAAAGCGUGGGGAGCAAACAGG
rnacentral:rRNA from 1 species